rnacentral:lncRNA from 1 species
GUAUAUUCCAGAAGGUCCAAAGAAGGGCCCAAGAUCAACACGGGGAUUGCUACCUUGGGAAUUAAGGGAGACACAUCAGCCACACCAAUCCCAAGAUCAACACGGGGAUUGCUGCCUUGGGAAUUUAGGGAGACACAUCAGCCACACCAAUGAUUAGGACACCUGUCCAAAUUCAGUUACAAACAAGGGGGUGAUCGUGUAUAUAGUACAGCAGAGGGCAAGGAGGAGGAUCUGAUAAAAAAAUAUUCCUUUUUCAUUUGUAUUGUUGGAGAGCUACUGCAGGCUCUUGGCUUGAUUCUUAGGAUUCAAGAAUUUUCCCUUUUGUUCUAGUUUCUGUUUUCUUUCUUCUUCAUUUUUAAUAUCUGAAGAUUGUAAUCUAUAACACUUGACUCUGAAUUGAAAUACAGAUUUCUUCUUCUCAUACCCAUUCUAGAAUUCUUUGAUUUUUUUUUUUUUUUUAUUUUGUUAUUUCCUUACUCUAUCAAUUUGGUCCGACGUGCUUCUGGAUUCCAAUGACUACUACACGAUCUGAUAGCCGUUUAGAUAGAGAGGAAUGUUUCAACCUUAGAAAACCGUAUUAACUCCAUCGACAAUUCUCUCCACACCUUACAAACAGAGCAGUCUAAAACCUUCCACACAUUAGAACAACGUCUCUCCUCAUUUGACCAGAAAUUUACCACCAUUGAGACCCUACUCCACAACCUCUCUUCACAACAUAUCACUCCUCAAUCAGGUGACUCCACAAACCCAAAACAGUGCACACCUUCUUCAUCUUCUACACCCGACCCACUAUACACUCAACACCCCACUAUCACUACCCCACCUAAAACCUUCAAUAACCCACAAACCACUAACCCAACAACUCAUUCACAACCUUACCACCAGAAUUUCACCCAUAAAAACUCAGACAUUCCCCAAUUCAAUGGAACAGAUCUCGUCGGAUGGUUUGCCCGAGUGGAACACUUUUUUGAGAUUCACCAUAUCCAACCGGACCAGCGUGUCUCCACUGCCCUCAUUACCACGGUCGGCGCACCCCUUCACUGGUUCCUCUGGAUUCGCCAACGCAAACCUCAACUCACUUGGGAAAUGUUGAAAUCAGAGUUAACCCAUCAAUAUGGUGGUGACAUCGCAAACAACCCUUAUGAACAUUUGGCAGCAGUAAAACAAACUGGGUCUGUCGCUGCUUUCCUGG